UUUUUGAAUCCUUUUAACACUUUAUGAGAGAGAAAGAGAGCAAACAACAGAAUAUGCAGGCAGGCAAGCAGGCAGCGUCUAACUCCCCUAAACCGCCACAGAGCCUGCAAGCUUGGGAGUAAAUACAGCUUCUUUAGCACCUUGUCAUAGGAUAUAAACACUCUGUCUCACCACAUUAUUAGUUCCACGCUCUGGCAUACUGAGACAUUUACAGACACGAGACAGGGAGACAGAAGAGGCUAUGCUGGGAGGUUUAGAGAGAAGAAUUCGGGAUUCAAGCACUGCACACUAACGAGGAGAGGGACGGUAGGGAAGCCCAGAGAACAAGUGAGCCACUUGAGCUGGUUUUCAAAGAGACAGCGUAGAAGACACACAAACAUUCCUGGUUUCUUGCCUUGGCUGGACAACACGGCUGCAAAAGGAGCACCAGGAGGAAGCACCAGGGCUUGUACCACCCAGGGAUCUUCUGAGCAGCAGCACCUCCUAUAAGGAAGAUGGCUCCAUUCCAUGAUCCCUGGUGCCUCAAGGCACAGCAGAUAAGAACGCAAGAAAAGCCAUACCUGCCGAAGGGUCCUCUGGCUCCAGGCCUGUGCGAGGAGCAAGAAGGAUGAAAAGAAAAAGGGAAAAAACAGAAACGGUUAAGUUUGCGGGAAGCAAGCAUGAGACACACUGAGCGAUGAAAAUCAGCAGCCCUUGUCCGACACAAAACACCCUCAGUCACAACGGCCCCAUUACCAUAGGAACCCACUUGAAACCAUGAUGUGUUCACAGGCGCUGACCUUUGAGAACACAAGGCUACAUUCACAGGGAUGAAGAAACAAUUGUUCCUUGACAUUCUUACUUUACAGACUGAAAGGCAACAGAACUCUCUGCUGUCCAGUCCUUCUCAGUCUCCUUCCCCUUCCCCAAGCUGGCUGUAGGCUCAGCAUGACUGCACCUUAGCAGGCUGGGUUAAUUAAUGGGCCCCAGCAGUAGAACAUGACCGAAGCCUCAACAGCAUGGUUUUGUUUUAGGGGGUCUGUUUGUUUGUUGAUCCCUGUCUCCAUCCCAUUAAACAAGGCCCAAAAGCAUGUACAAUAUGGGCUGGAGAGAUGGCUCAGCAGUUAAGAGGGCUUUGCUACAUAAUCAUGAGGAGCAGAGUUCAGAUCCCAGGACCCACAUAGCAAGCCAGGAAUCCCACAAAUGCCUGCAACUCCAGCUCCAACGGAUCUGAAGCCCUCUUCUUGCCUCCGCCAAAAGGUGGGGUGGGGGUGCUGGGAGCAUACACAAAUAAAUAAAUCUAAUAAAAAUUUUUAGAAGAAAAUUCCACACCUGAUUUGAUUUCACAUGACAGAUCAGAGUCAAAAUGCAGGUGUGCUAAAAGUAUAAUAGGCUACAGGUAUGAAGUUGUGUGAAACACAAAUGAAUCUCAUGUUUAGGCUUGGGUUCCUUCUAUAACAUAUUCCAUUAUUUAUAAUGCAAACACUCUAAAAUCUAAGAGAAAAAGAUCUGAAAUACUUCUGAUCUCAAGCACUUCAAAUAAGACCCAGUGACUCUGUGACUGUGUACCACAUCAAGGAACAGCCACAGAUAAUCCAUAAAUGAAUGAGCUGUGCUCCCAAACACUCUUAUUUAUGAACAUUAAAUUUUGAAUUUUAAAGGCUUUCACGUGGUGUAUAAUAUCACUCUUCUUUGCAUUUUUCUAUCAGCCAUUUAAAAUAUAAAAGCUAUUCUUGGCCAACAAGCUAGAUUUUGCUCAUGGCCAGUGUGGCCACCCCACUCCUACACUCCUUUAACGUCCUGUCCCUCAGUUUCCUGAGAAGCCUUGUAUUCUCACUCCU